rnacentral:rRNA from 1 species
UACGAAGGGUGCAAGCGUUACUCGGAAUUACUGGGCGUAAAGCGUGCGUAGGUGGUUUGUUAAGUCUGUUGUGAAAGCCCCGGGCUCAACCUGGGAAUGGCAAUGGAUACUGGCAGGCUAGAGUACGAAAGAGGAUCGCGGAAUUCCCGGUGUAGAGGUGAAAUUCGUAGAUAUCGGGAGGAACACCGGUGGCGAAGGCGGCGAUCUGGGUCGAUACUGACGCUGAGGUGCGAAAGCGUGGGGAGCAAACAGG